rnacentral:rRNA from 1 species
UACGGAGGGUGCAAGCGUUAUCCGGAUUUACUGGGUUUAAAGGGUGCGUAGGCGGACAGGUAAGUCAGUGGUGAAAUCUCCGAGCUUAACUCGGAAACUGCCUUUGAUACUCUCUGUCUUGAAUAUGGUGGAGGUAAGCGGAAUAUGUCAUGUAGCGGUGAAAUGCUUAGAGAUGACAUAGAACACCUAUUGCGAAGGCAGCUUACUACGCCUAUAUUGACGCUGAGGCACGAAAGCGUGGGGAUCAAACAGG